rnacentral:rRNA from 1 species
GUGGGGAAUUUUCCGCAAUGGGCGAAAGCCUGACGGAGCAAUACCGCGUGAGGGAGGAAGGCUCUUGGGUUGUAAACCUCUUUUCUCAGGGAAGAACGCAAUGACGGUACCUGAGGAAUCAGCAUCGGCUAACUCCGUGCCAGCAGCCGCGGUAAUACGGGGGAUGCAAGCGUUAUCCGGAAUGAUUGGGCGUAAAGGGUUCGCAGGUGGUAGUGAAAGUCUGCUGUUAAAGGUCGGGGCUCAACCCCGAACCGGCGGUGGAAACUACACGACUAGAGUGCGGUAGGGGCAGAGGGAAUUCCUGGUGUAGCGGUGAAAUGCGUAGAGCUCAGGAAGAACACCGGUGGCGAAAGCGCUCUGCUAGACCUGCACUGACACUGAGGGACGAAAGCUAGGGGAGCGAAUGGGAUUAGAUACCCCAGUAGUCCUAGCCGUAAACGAUGGAUACUAGGUGUUGCGCGUAUCGACCCGCGCAGUGCCGGAGCUAACGCGUUAAGUAUCCCGCCUGGGGAGUACGCUCGCAAGAG